UGGUGGCGAUAGCGAAGAGGUCACACCCGUUCCCAUACCGAACACGGAAGUUAAGCUCUUCAGCGCCGAUGGUAGUCGGGGGUUUCCCCCUGUGAGAGUAGGACGCCGCCAA
rnacentral:rRNA from 1 species